GAAGGGAUAGCUCAGUGGUGGAGCGUUCGGAUGCAGAUCGAGAGGUACCCGAUCCAAACCCGGAUGCUCCCUUCU